rnacentral:rRNA from 1 species
GGGAUAACAUUUGGAAACAAGUGCUAAUACCGUAUAAUAUCAACAACCGCAUGGUUGUUGGUUGAAACAUGGUUCUGCUAUCACUAAGAGAUGGACCCGCGGUGCAUUAGCUAGUUGGUAAGGUAACGGCUUACCAAGGCAAUGAUGCAUAGCCGAGUUGAGAGACUGAUCGGCCACAAUGGGACUGAGACACGGCCCAUACUCCUACGGGAGGCAGCAGUAGGGAAUCUUCCACAAUGGGCGCAAGCCUGAUGGAGCAACGCCGCGUGUGUGAUGAAGGGUUUCGGCUCGUAAAACACUGUUAUAAGAGAAGAACGGCACUGAGAGUAACUGUUCAGUGUGUGACGGUAUCUUACCAGAAAGGAACGGCUAAAUACGUGCCAGCAGCCGCGGUAAUACGUAUGUUCCAAGCGUUAUCCGGAUUUAUUGGGCGUAAAGCGAGCGCAGACGGUUAUUUAAGUCUGAAGUGAAAGCCCUCAGCUCAACUGAGGAAUGGCUUUGGAAACUGGAUGACUUGAGUGCAGUAGAGGAAAGUGGAACUCCAUGUGUAGCGGUGAAAUGCGUAGAUAUAUGGAAGAACACCAGUGGC